UACGUAGGGUGCAAGCGUUAUCCGGAAUUAUUGGGCGUAAAGAGCUCGUAGGCGGUUUGUCGCGUCUGCUGUGAAAACUGGAGGCUCAACCUCCAGCCUGCAGUGGGUACGGGCAGACUAGAGUGCGGUAGGGGGAGAUUGGAAUUCCUGGUGUAGCGGUGGAAUGCGCAGAUAUCAGGAGGAACACCAAUGGCGAAGGCAGAUCUCUGGGCCGUAACUGACGCUGAGGAGCGAAAGCAUGGGGAGCGAACAGG
rnacentral:rRNA from 1 species